rnacentral:rRNA from 1 species
ACCCAAGGCCAUUCCACCUGGAACAUGUCCAAUCUCAUCUGAUCCCAGGAGCUAAUCAGGGCUGGGCCUGGUUAGUAUGUGGAAGGGAGAAACACUAAGGAGAGCGCCAAAACUCAUAGGCCUGGGUG